GAGAGGAUAAGGAUCGAGUGAAGCUGAAAUUUGUUGCUGCGGGAGAUCCGGACGCGGGAGAAGUUGGAGCUGAAUUUCGUUGGCUGAAGUCGGCUUGAUCCUUGGAGCUCGGAUGGCGAGGACGUGGAGCAUUGAUCUCGGAUGGCUGCUAACUUCCAGACGUUGUGAAGAUGAGCUGAUGAGCUUGGGAGUUUGGAUUCG
rnacentral:lncRNA from 1 species